GGAAACCCAAAGAGGACAAUAUCUGCUAGCGAUGGGUUUAGGUUGUUACAAAUGGUAUCAGAGCCAAACAAUAGGCAAUGGGCUAGUGAGGAGGUUGAACCCCGAAGGGGGAUGGACACGAGGCGGUGUGUCAACAAGGACGUUAGGUCAAUGCUAGUAGAUAUUGUCUACUUUGGCUUGUUACGUUUCGUUGUUCAGUCUCAUGGUUUUAAAACGCGUAUACUAGGGAGAAGUUUUCAUAAUCUUAUAAGAAAUGUUUCAUUUCCCCCUCUCCAACAGAUAAAGUGUAUGCACAUAGGAUUGUGUACAUAAAGAAUAUUUACGAAGUUGUUGGUACUAAGAGGUUAGAAUUUUGUACGCACAAAGGAUAUCUACAAAGUUGUUCGUGCAGAUAGGUUAGUGACAAAGCAAGCGACACUUGACGAACAACUUACGAGAUUGAUAUGAUAUGAAAGAUGCUCUUAUUUCAAAAAAUAUGAA